rnacentral:lncRNA from 1 species
CAAUAGACACAGGAAUGGAAACUGGAAGGGCAUCAAAGUUCUCACCAGAAACCCUGAACGGAAUACCAUGGAGAAAUAGAAAUGCCUUCAGGAUCUGGAGGUAAAUGAUUUUAUACCAAACAAUCAGCCAAAGGUGAAGGGAAAAUAAAAACACUUUCAGACAGGCAAGAGUCAAAACUCAGAAUCAUGAAAGAAGAAGCCACAGCCUCUGGAUUAGGGACCCCAGCCCAAGAAAAGGGCAAAGGGGGUCUCAGAGCAGACCGGAGAGGAGGAAGCCAGACCGAGCCCACCUGGACAGAAGGGGGGACCGGGCGAGAAGAGCCCGUAGAGGGAGUGGCCUGUGUGAAUAAUGACAGACAUUGCCAGACCUCUGGCAGAUCCUGCAAAGAGACCGGGACAAAUCGCAGGUCUUGCUAUGCAUUCCAGGCUGGCCUUGAAUUCAUGGCAUUCCUCCUGCCUCAGCCUCCCCAGCGCUGGGAAUACAGGAAUAUGAAGAGAGUGUCAGUUCCACCAGUCUACACCCUGAGACAAGCAGAGCAGCUGAGGCCAUGCAGGAUCUAAAGACCAGACGAGACCAAGAUGUCACUGAGCCACCCGGAUCUGGAGCCAGAUGACCCACUCCCCUUGUGCUUGGAGCGACAGAGUCCCAGAACCUGGGCAGGAGCAGGCCCAGAUCUGGGCAGUGGCCAGCAGCUCGAUGAACCCAAACCCGGCAGGUGCCACCUUGGAGGCUACUGGGAAACAUCCCAGCAGGUUACGAGUGUGGUGGCCGCACGCUGGCUAGAUGCCCUUUCUCUUCAUAGUUUCCUAUAUUGACUGGAAUUUUACAUUGUAACCAGACAAAACAAUCACAUUAUUUUUCCAGCGGUGUCGUGGGGGUCACUGGUGACACAUGUGCACCCCUACCUUCACCUGUGCUUUUUCUGCCGAUGACUUUACAAGCCCGACUUCUGUCCUGUCCGCCCAGCUCCCUCGCUGGCAAUCAAAGCUGCUCUCCGGUCCUUUGAGGGUUUCCAGCACUUUGCACGCAGCUCUUGGCAGAAGACGCAGGGUCACAUGGCGGGUGACUGGUAUUUAUUUUCUGACUCAUGG